AGUGAGCGCUGGCGGUAGGCCUAACACAUGCGAGUCGAACGGCAGCACAGUAAGAGCUUGCUCUUACGGGUGGCGAGUGGCGGACGGGUGAGGAAUACAUCGGCAUCUACUUUUUCGUGGGGGAUAACGUAGGGAAACUUACGCUAAUACCGCAUACGACCUACGGGUGAAAGCAGGGGAUCUUCGGACCUUGCGCGAUUGAAUGAGCCGAUGUCGGAUUAGCUAGUUGGCGGGGUAAAGGCCCACCAAGGCGACGAUCCGUAGCUGGUCUGAGAGGAUGAUCAGCCACACUGGAACUGAGACACGGUCCAGACUCCUACGGGAGGCAGCAGUGGGGAAUAUUGGACAAUGGGCGCAAGCCUGAUCCAGCCAUACCGCGUGGGUGAAGAAGGCCUUCGGGUUGUAAAGCCCUUUUGUUGGGAAAGAAAAGCAGCAGGUUAAUACCCCGCUGUUCUGACGGUACCCAAAGAAUAAGCACCGGCUAACUUCGUG
rnacentral:rRNA from 1 species